rnacentral:rRNA from 1 species
UACGUAGGGUGCGAGCGUUGUCCGGAAUUAUUGGGCGUAAAGAGCUCGUAGGCGGCCUGUCGCGUCGGUUGUGAAAGCCCGGGGCUUAACCCCGGGUCUGCAGUCGAUACGGGCAGGCUAGAGUUCGGUAGGGGAGAUCGGAAUUCCUGGUGUAGCGGUGAAAUGACGCAGAUAUCGGGAGGAACACCGGUGGCGAAAGCGGCUCUCUGGAACGGUACUGACGCUGAGACGCGAAAGCGUGGGGAGCGAACAGG